CACAAUUUCAAACUCUUUCUCUCUUUUCAGCACCUACUGAAGAAAGGUGUCCCUGGCACACAUGGUGAGCAAGGUCUUGAUCCUCCCCUGCAGACUUUUGUCCAGUCUGAAAAGAUCAGCCUGGUCCCACGCAACGGCCUGACAAAGCUCACAGAUUUCAGCACUGCUAUUCUGCUCCUCCGACCAACUGCUCAGGACAGGACAGUUUACUGGGUAAGCCCAGACUAAUAAAGCUAUGUUUUCACUUAUGCAGCUGCAUUUCUAGGGCAACUCCACCAAAGAUGGAUUUUCAUCAGCGUAAUACAGAGCAGAGUUUGAUCUUACAGAAAGGAAGGAAAGCAAGUGGCUUCCCUUCUGCACAGGAGGUGUUUCAGGCGAGGAACCAUUUUCCUUGAGAUGGUUUACACCAGGGUAAACAGGCAAGGCAGGGAAUGCUGGGACCAGGAGAAGUGAUACCAGACUGAAGUGCGAGAGCUUACGGACCCAAGAGAUGAGCUGACCGGACGUUUACUUCAAGCAGAUUCAAGAAACACAGCUCGGAUUUGCUAUUUACACCAUCCUUGCUGGGGCCAAAUGCACCUUCGCGUACACAGCCUAGUAAAAAUAUCAGUUGUCUGAUAACUUUGGACUGUAUGAAACCGAGCAGACAAUGUGAGUGUUCCCCCAUUCUGCUCUCAUGAGCUCCCAGUGUUUUUAGCUUAAGAAUAUUUUUUGCACUUACCUGCAAACAGUUUUGCAGUUUGUAUAGAUCCCAUUUGAACGGUGUGCGGUUCUCUCCGAAUACAGACGAUCUUAACAUAGGGUUACAGGAAGCUUCAUAAAUUUCUAACAACCGUAUGGGAGAUUUGCGGCGCAAAAUCAUGCAAAAAUUAGUCUAAAUUACAUUUUGGAGUGUGACUUUUGAGAGAGUUACUGACACGGCAAUUAGAAAUAGUAUUUCUAAAAAAAUUCUGUUAAAAGAACACAAGCGUUUGCAGCUGCAAAAUAUUACUCCAAAUCUUUUUCAAGUCAGCAUUUUAGUCAUUGUAACCUACUGUCUGACACACUGGGGACAUAAUACGUCAUUGCUCUUAGUCCAGCUCCAGAUAAAACGGUCACAAAACAUAUCACAGUGUUUUUUGGAUACGAUCUCAGAGUAGACUUACCUAAUUUUUCCAAAUACGUGCACUGGAGACUGAAUUACCACUGAUCCCUAAACAGGGAAGCACAACUACCUACUACUACCUACUCUCUAGAACGUCUCUUUCUUGUCCUAAAUUAACCCAAAUCUGUCUUUAAAAUAUUGCAGCACAUCCUGCAUUUUCAUAUAAUAAAUAUUGAUUAAAAACUCCCAGGGAAAAUUUAAAAAAUUCUUGUUUUCAUAGCUGCAGGACACCAAUUAAUGAAGAAAAGGAAUGCAGGUCACCUGAGAACUGCAAAGAUACGUUGCCAGUAAUGACAAGGAGAACAUGAUGCAGAUCAGCAGAUGAAUCAUUCUCUUGAAAAUUCAUACCCUUCACCAAUUUCAGUAAUUGCUCUUUUGCUGUACCUGUACAACUUGGUGCAGAGAAAAGAAAUGUCAUUACUUAUAAACGUAGACAUGGAAUUAGGCACUGAAAAUAACAGCUAUAAAACAGGCGAGCUGGCCACCAACUACUCCCCUGUACAGAUACGUUCCUGUGUUCCCAUGGGUACACGUAAGUUGCCAGUCCUCCUCUCUGUAGAGGUACUUGGCUUACACGUCUUAAACUAAGUGGAAGAGGAAUUAAAAAUCUUGUACUCUUCCACGGUCAAAAACUUAAAGCCUGCCUCUAAACAUUUUUCUUAAUUGUCGAACUUCUAGUAUUGGGCUUUGUUGUCACGGCAUUCUCCUGUUCCUAGUUAAUCCAGUCUGCAGUUCACCAUUUUGUAGUUCACUGGAGGUGAAAGAAGCUCCCAUCAAGACAAUCAUAAAUACCACGGGUAUCACUUCUCUCACAUUAAGGACUUAUUCACAUAAAUAAGGCCUUUUGCUGGUGCUCUGCAUGAGCUAAAUUCCACUUGGAGUACAUUUCACCAGUGGACACUUAUGUUUAAUUUAAGACAAAAUUUUUUUGCUUUCUACUGCGUUUAAAUCUGGAUCUAUAUCUCCUAUACUUCAAAUGAUGCCUUAUAGAUUGCCAAAAAAGAUCUUGUUCUCUCAUGGAUGUUCUACUGCACACAGAGCAACCUGGCUGGGUGUUUUACCAUUUUAUACCUCUUUGUAGUUACAGCACAUUUCAUUUUCCUAUCCCAUGGAAAAAACAGCACGAAAAUAGCCAAAACUUCAAAAAAAGGAAUUAUUUGCCUGUCAGUAAUCACCUGUGCACAAUGGACCUCUGUACCCAUGCAGCAAAUACCACUCUAGGCUCUAAGUGAUCAUUAUCGGUCCAUUUUAGAACUAGAGUAAAAGCACACUAGGAGCAAAGUCAUUGCUAAAUACUGGAAUAACACAGGAGUAUACACACUGUCCAUUAUUUACCUGAUAAAAGAACGUAUCAGAAGCAACAUGUGGAGACCAUUCUCUCCAAGUUUACAGCUCAGCUCAAAGACCAAAUAUAUAAAAAUUUUUCAUUAGUUUAAAGAUUAUUAAAAAAAAUGCUUCCCUCAUGCUGCAUCUACAAGGAACUCGCUGCAACGUAUAACCACCAGCCUGCUGAGCAUGCCAUAACAUGUUAGCCUUACUACCACUAUAAUAAACACAACUUAAUUCAUUAUGAUUGAAGAAAUUAAAUCUGUAUUUUAUUAGGAGAUUGAAAACUGAAUGUCAAAGAGAAAACAAUUAUAAAUACACUCUGGUUCUGGUUACUCCAGGAUACCUUUAUGGGAACAAAGUUCUCCAUCAACCACAUAACUGAGAGCAAAACUUUGGGUUUUCUUAGACGCAUCAGCUGGAGACCCCACAGGUAAUUAAGACAUGAAUUUGAACAAUCAUCGUAAUUCCCUUUUCCAGAAUCUUGUGCUACUGCAGUCUUUGUUUUUUGAUUUAUUUGAUUCUCCAUCAUUCCACUUUCUGUAAGUUACAGCCCCUUCGUUCAGCUACACGAACUUGCCUUCAGUCUGUUCAUCAGAUAUCCCCAUAUAAGCCUGCUUUGAAGGUCUUAUUAAGUCUUAAAGCUGUAAUCUCAGCGUCAUUCCUAGGAGAAGCAAGUGCACUUCCAGCUUUUGCCAAAGGGAUUUUCCAUUGUCAAAAGUAUCAUCUUUUCCAGUUGAGACAACGAUUUUUUUUUCACCAAUACUCUUGAUGCUCUUUAAAAUCAAAGCUAGAAACAAAAGUGAACAUAAUUGUAUUAUACCAAAAAUUGAUCACGCUAUAGUUAUUUAUCCAUAUCACAACUGUACUUCAGAAGUAGGUAAUACCAGCUACAAAUAGAGUAUUUGUUGAAGCAGUAGGCAGAAUCCAACUGAAGUCAAACAAAAGAGACACCUGGAAAUAUCAGGCCCACACUUCAAGAAAACUGGAAUUUCACAAUAAACUGGAUCACAAGUCUUGUUCUAAUGUUUUUGAUUUCCAGUUCAUACACUAUUACAGCUCUUGAAUCAGGAUCUGAAGGAAUUCACACUCAAAGUGCAAGCAUGACAAAACAGCUUGCCAGGUUUCAAUGAAAAAAUCACAGAGCAAUUGAAAACACAAAGGAACUGUACUGCAAUGAGGAGAUCUUCUGUACUCAUCAGCUUUAGGAUAAUCUCCGUUUAUUUGCAGAGGUCCCACUUUUCCAGGGAAACCCUGCAGACCUCUCAAUCCUUCUUCUAGAGUCUGAUUUAAAAUAAAAUUGUGUAAAACUUUU